rnacentral:rRNA from 1 species
AUGGAAUGACCCUUCGGGGGAAUGAAAUCCUAGAAAGUGGCGAACGGGUGAGUAACGCGUGGGUAACCUGCCCUAUGGAAAGGAAUAGCCUCGGGAAACUGGGAGUAAUGCCUUAUAAUAUACGAGAGUCGCAUGGCUUUUGUAUUAAACGCUCCGGUGCCAUAGGAUGGACCCGCGUCCCAUUAGCUAGUUGGUGAGAUAACAGCCCACCAAGGCAACGAUGGGUAACCGGUCUGAGAGGGCGAACGGUCACACUGGAACUGAGACACGGUCCGGACUCCUACGGGAGGCAGCAGUGGGGAAUAUUGCGCAAUGGGGGCAACCCUGACGCAGCAAUACCGCGUGAGUGAAGAAGGUUUUCGGAUCGUAAAGCUCUGUUAUUGGGGAAGAAAAAAGACGGUACCCAAGAAGAAAGUCCCGGCUAACUACGUGCCAGCAGCCGCGGUAAUACGUAGGGGACAAGCGUUGUCCGGAUUUACUGGGCGUAAAGGGCACGCAGGCGGUUUUUUAAGUCAGAUGUGAAAGGUACCGGCUCAACCGGUGACAUGCAUUUGAAACUGAAAGACUUGAGUAUUGGAGAGGCAAGUGGAAUUCCUAGUGUAGCGGUGAAAUGCGUAGAUAUUAGGA